UGUGUUCUUAUAGUUUAAAUAAAAUAUAAUAUUGAAAAUAUUAAGAUAUAAGUAAGGAUAUU
rnacentral:tRNA from 1 species